rnacentral:rRNA from 1 species
AGAGUUUGAUCCUGGCUCAGAUUGAACGCUGGCGGCAGGCUUAACACAUGCAAGUCGAGCGGGGAAAGGUAGCUUGCUAUCUGACCUAGCGGCGGACGGGUGAGUAAUGCUUAGGAAUCUGCCUAUUAGUGGGGGACAACAUCUCGAAAGGGAUGCUAAUACCGCAUACGUCCUACGGGAGAAAGCAGGGGACCUUCGGGCCUUGCGCUAAUAGAUGAGCCUAAGUCGGAUUAGCUAGUUGGUGGGGUAAAGGCCUACCAAGGCGACGAUCUGUAGCGGGUCUGAGAGGAUGAUCCGCCACACUGGGACUGAGACACGGCCCAGACUCCUACGGGAGGCAGCAGUGGGGAAUAUUGGACAAUGGGGGGAACCCUGAUCCAGCCAUGCCGCGUGUGUGAAGAAGGCCUUUUGGUUGUAAAGCACUUUAAGCGAGGAGGAGGCUACCGAGAUUAAUACUCUUGGAUAGUGGACGUUACUCGCAGAAUAAGCACCGGCUAACUCUGUGCCAGCAGCCGCGGUAAUACAGAGGGUGCAAGCGUUAAUCGGAUUUACUGGGCGUAAAGCGCGCGUAGGUGGCCAAUUAAGUCAAAUGUGAAAUCCCCGAGCUUAACUUGGGAAUUGCAUUCGAUACUGGUUGGCUAGAGUAUGGGAGAGGAUGGUAGAAUUCCAGGUGUAGCGGUGAAAUGCGUAGAGAUCUGGAGGAAUACCGAUGGCGAAGGCAGCCAUCUGGCCUAAUACUGACACUGAGGUGCGAAAGCAUGGGGAGCAAACAGGAUUAGAUACCCUGGUAGUCCAUGCCG